CCGCACUCAGAGCACAUUGCUGCAUUGCUGGACUUGUCCUGGAUGACGGCCGAAGCACAGGAACGCCGAGGACAGUACGUCACAUCUGAGAGGAGGGGAGAAAAGAAGAGACAUGAGCAGAGGCUCUUCAAUGAUCCCAAUUUUUACAGAAAUAUGCUGUAAGGGAAACACACCAGGCAUGCAGUCCAGAGUAUUCUGCAGCAGGAGACGAUCAUAGCGGCUGAACAGCUCCUCCCCGACCAGACUCUUCACCUGACAUAUACAAAUAAAAAAAACAUAAAACACAAA